rnacentral:rRNA from 1 species
AAUUGAAGAGUUUGAUCAUGGCUCAGAUUGAACGCUGGCGGCAGGCCUAACACAUGCAAGUCGAACGGUAACAGGAAGCAGCUUGCUGCUUUGCUGACGAGUGGCGGACGGGUGAGUAAUGUCUGGGAAACUGCCUGAUGGAGGGGGAUAACUACUGGAAACGGUGGCUAAUACCGCAUAACGUCGCAAGACCAAAGAGGGGGACCUUCGGGCCUCUUGCCAUCAGAUGUGCCCAGAUGGGAUUAGCUUGUUGGUGAGGUAACGGCUCACCAAGGCGACGAUCCCUAGCUGGUCUGAGAGGAUGACCAGCCACACUGGAACUGAGACACGGUCCAGACUCCUACGGGAGGCAGCAGUGGGGAAUAUUGCACAAUGGGCGCAAGCCUGAUGCAGCCAUGCCGCGUGUAUGAAGAAGGCCUUCGGGUUGUAAAGUACUUUCAGCGGGGAGGAAGGUGUUGCGGUUAAUAACCGCAGCAAUUGACGUUACCCGCAGAAGAAGCACCGGCUAACUCCGUGCCAGCAGCCGCGGUAAUACGGAGGGUGCAAGCGUUAAUCGGAAUUACUGGGCGUAAAGCGCACGCAGGC